rnacentral:rRNA from 1 species
CCUACGGGUGGCAGCAGUGGGGAAUAUUGCACAAUGGGGGAAACCCUGAUGCAGCAACGCCGCGUGAGUGAAGAAGUAUUUCGGUAUGUAAAGCUCUAUCAGCAGGGACGAGGCAAGACGGUACCUGACUAAGAAGCCCCGGCUAACUACGUGCCAGCAGCCGCGGUAAUACGUAGGGGGCAAGCGUUAUCCGGAUUUACUGGGUGUAAAGGGAGCGUAGACGGCUGUGUAAGUCUGAAGUGAAAGGCCGUGGCUCAACCGCGGAACUGCUUUGGAAACUGUACAGCUGGAGUACUGGAGAGGUAGGCGGAAUUCCUAGUGUAGCGGUGAAAUGCGUAGAUAUUAGGAGGAACACCAGUGGCGAAGGCGGCCUGCUGGACAGAAACUGACGUUGAGGCUCGAAAGCGUGGGGAGCAAACAGGAUUAGAUACCCGUGUAGUC